UACGUAGGGUGCAAGCGUUGUCCGGAAUUACUGGGCGUAAAGAGUUCGUAGGCGGUUUGUCGCGUCUGCCGUGAAAGUCCGGGGCUCAACUCCGGAUCUGCGGUGGGUACGGGCAGACUAGAGUGAUGUAGGGGAGACUGGAAUUCCUGGUGUAGCGGUGAAAUGCGCAGAUAUCAGGAGGAACACCGAUGGCGAAGGCAGGUCUCUGGGCAUUAACUGACGCUGAGGAGCGAAAGCAUGGGGAGCGAACAGG
rnacentral:rRNA from 1 species